rnacentral:rRNA from 1 species
UUUCCGUAGGUGAACCUGCGGAAGGAUCAUUAACGAACAACGGGGUGCGCCCCUUGUCCACAUCCACAUCCCUGUGCACCGCGUGGCUAGCGGGCGGACCGCGUAGCCUCGCAUUUUUCUUACACAAACUUCAGAAAGUAGAUCGGAAUGUGUUGGGCGCGUGUAGCGCGUGGUAAUAUAACUUUCAGCAACGGAUCUCUUGGCUCUCGCAUCGAUGAAGAACGCAGCGAAAUGCGAUAAGUAAUGUGAAUUGCAGAAUCCAGUGAAUCAUCGAAUCUUUGAACGCACCUUGCGCUCCUUGGCAUUCCGAGGAGCAUGCCUGUUUGAGUGUCAUGAAACUCUCAACCGAGCUUCGGUUGGAUUUUGGAGGUUGCCGGACCGGGUUCGGCUCCCCUUGAAUGCAUAGUAAACCUUUGGACUCUGACCGACCGAGUGGACGUGAUAGAAAAGUCACCGUCGACUGAAGGGUCCGUCGCUUGAACGGUUCAAAGCUUUGCUUCGUCGUCCUCGGACGAAAGCUUUAUCUCUGACCUCAAAUCAGGCAGGACUACCCGCUGAACUUAA